AUGGUGCAGACGGGCAGCUUACGUUUUUGGAGAGGCAGGUCUCGGUCCUCUCCACGCGCGGCCCCAUUUCGAUGGGGACGAGCUCGUAGCCUGCAAUGCGAUCAAUGGUCGCAUUUUUUGUUAGAGGGCGAGAAGAUUAUUACCAAGUUUGAUGGUAUUCGUUUACGAAACACAAAUGAUGAUGGCAUUCUCCUAGUGACGAAUUUCCAGUUUCUUUUCGUGAGUAAAGAAACAAAAAGCAAGUUGGGUACCAUCCCUCUUACUACAGUUGAGCAAAUAAAGUCAAAGACAUUUGAUACCGGAAUGGUGUGGAGACUGGAGACAGCGCCAUGCAUGGUGCUAUGUCACGAUAUGAGAGUGCUGGUGUUUGAUUUGAAAUCUGAACAAAAGCAAGAGAUAGUGGAAUAUUUGACAAGAUGUGCCAAACCUUCAUGUUUGGUUGAUCUUUUUGCAUUUGCACUUAAUUCCACUCCACCCGCGGUUGCUAAUCGAACCAGUCCCAAUAUGCGGCUUUUGAAAGAAUAUCAACGCCUUUUUUGUAAAUGGUUGCCUCCGGGCACCGGUUUCGAAAUUCAAAAGAGUUUAGAGGAUAAAUGGUGGAGGGUAACUGAAGUCAAUUCCGAUUAUUCCUUAUGUUCAACCUAUCCAUCUCACCUGAUAGUCCCACGCACCAUAAGUGAUGAAGAGCUAGAAGAAAUGUCUACCAGCCGAGCUCUUAGUCGCUUGCCUGUUAUUUCCUGGUGUGAUUUUGUAUGUGGAGCUGUCCUGGCAAGGUCUUCUCAGCCCAUGGGAAUCAAGAAUCUUAAGAAGUAUGAGGAUGAAAAACUUGUAUCUGCCCUUCGCACUCCAGGAAUUCACCGCACAGGCCCUAUAAGGAAAUUAUACAUAGUUGAUGCUCGGCCAGCGGUCAGCACUGUAGGAAAUGGUGGUGGCUCAGAGUCAGCUUGUUCCUAUCCAGAAUCUGAGGUUGUCUACCUAGGAAUUGAAGACAUAUAUGAAAUGAGAGUUAGUUUUUCAUCUCUCCGAAAGUAUGUUGAUUCUCAUGGAUCAAUUUCAUCAAAUGGACUACCUUUAGCUGGAUCUGUCACUGCAGACCUGGUAAAUCAUGGAUCAGCCUGGGUUGGCGGAACUAUAAAUAGCAUGACAAAAUUUUCUAUUCGGGGGGAAUGGCUAAAUCAUAUUCAAAUUAUCCUAAUUGGUGGUUCCUGGAUUGCUGAAAAAAUUGCCCAUGAAUCAGCUUCAGUUCUAGUGCAUUGCAGUGAUGGCUGGGACAGAACAACACAGUUAGUUGGACUUGCUUCCCUCCUGCUUGAUCCGUAUUAUCGAACGUUCACUGGAUUUCAGGCGCUUGUGGAAAAAGAUUGGCUAGCUUUUGGCCAUCAAUUUGCGGAGAGGAUGGGUCUUCCAACAAUAGCUAAAGGAUGCCGGCCUGCAAAUCCUUCGGUUAAAUCUCAGGCAUCAGAUAAUAAAACUUCACCAGUACUGUUGCAGUGGCUAGAAUGUAUUGCUCAGUUGUUGCGCAUGUACCCAUCUGCAUUUGAGUUCUCAACUGUAUUCCUGGUUGACUUUAUUGAUGCUGUGUUAUCGUGCCGUUUUGGGAACUUCCUAUGCAAUAGUGACUGGGAAAGGGAGCAAGCUGAAGUCGCGAGCUCUUGUCCUUGCAUUUGGGAGUACUUGGCUGACCUCCGGGCUUCCGGCGGCAUCUUUCAUGAGCACAGAAAUCCCUUUUAUAAACCAAGCAAGUGGAAUGGGCCGAUUGUCCCGCCAGCUCCAACGCUUGCACCCACCCUUUGGCCUGAAUUCUAUUUGAGAUGGGCUUGUCCACUUGAAUCGCAAGGCAGUGAUCGAGAAUGCAAAUAUGUGGAAGCAGUGAAGACCAGUCCAGCUACAGGUUCAGAAACAAAGUAUCAGUACCAUGACCACCAAAGUGAAACAGCAGCAACGAAGCCACUAGGAUGCUUUUGUCUACAAAAGGCAUCACAUAUGUUGCAUCUUUUCCUAGAAUCCCAUGAAGGGCUUUGCCGUAUCAUCGGGAAACAACAGAAAGAACUUUUCUCUCAAAAUUUAGCAAUCACUGAUCUAUUUUAA
rnacentral:rRNA from 1 species